GCGGGUCCCGCCCCCGGCGGCGGCUACGUGCGCGGCGGGCAGCGGCGCGGCGCGGCGGGAGCCCUCAGCCCGCCGCGGCGGCGGCGGCGGCGGCGCGCCCAUGGCGAGCGGCGGCGGCGGCGGCAGGUAGGGGAGGGCGCGGCGCGGCCAUGGCGCAGACGGAGCCGGCGCGGCCGUUGCGCCCCGCCGGCGCGGCCGCCCUGCGCGCGCGGAAGCUGCGCGGCGUCCCCGGCGAGCCGGAGCCCGAGCCGGAGCCCGAGCCGGAGCCGGACGCGGGGCCGCCGGGGGGGCCGCCGCCGCCUGCCGCCGUCCCCGUCCCCGUCCCCGCCCCCGCCCCCGCGGCGGCGGCGCUGGGCGAGCUGGAGGCGCUGAACCUGAGCGGGCGCGGGCUGGAGGAGCUGCCCGAGGAGGUGGGCGCCGCCCUGGGCGGGCUGCGGGCGCUGAGCCUGCGGCGCAACCGGCUGCGCCGCCUGCCCGCCGCCGCCCUGCGCCACCUGGGCCGCCUGGCCGAGCUCGACCUCAGCCACAACCGGCUGCGGGGCCUGGGCGACGGCGCGGCGCUGGCGGGGCUGCGCGGCCUGCGCAAGCUCAGCCUCAGCCACAACGAGCUGGGCGCCGAGGGGCCCGGCCUGCCGCCGCGCCUGGCCGAGCUGGGCCGCCUCGAGGAGCUGGACCUCAGCUUCAACCGCCUGCGCCGCCUGCCCGAGGGCCUGGGCCGCCUGCGGCAGCUCCGCACCCUCGACGUGGACCACAACCUGCUGCCCGCCUUCCCCGCCCCGCUCCUGGAGCUGGCCGCCCUCGAGGAGCUCGACUGCUCCGGCAACCGCCACCUCGGGGCCCUGCCCGAGGGCAUCGCCGCCCUCCGCCGCCUCAAGAUCCUCUGGCUGAGCGGCACCGGGCUGGCGGCCCUGCCCGAGGGCCUCUGCCAGCUGGGCGCCCUCGAGAGCCUCAUGCUGGACGGCAACCGGCUGCGGGCCCUGCCCGCCGGCUUCGGCGGCCUGCAGCGCCUCAAGAUGCUGAACCUCUCCUCCAACCUGCUCGGGGAGUUCCCCGCCGCCAUCCUGGCCCUGCCCGGCCUGGAGGAGCUCUACCUGAGCCGCAACCAGCUCACCCUGCUGCCCCCGCGCCUCUGCCAGCUCCGCCAGCUCCGCACCCUCUGGCUGGACAACAACCGCAUCCGCUACCUGCCCGACUCCGUCGUGCUCCUCCGCAGCCUGGAGGAGCUGGUGCUGCAAGGCAACCAGAUCGCCAUCCUGCCCGAGGGCUUCGGACAGCUGUCCCGCAUCACCCUGUGGAAGAUCAAGGACAACCCCCUCAUCCAGCCCCCGUACGAGGUGUGCAUGAAGGGCAUCCCCUACAUCGCGGCCUACCAGCAGGAGCUGGCCCACUCCCAGCCUGCCCUCAAGCCCCGCCUCAAGCUGGUCCUCCUGGGCCUAAAGGAUGCGGGCAAGACCUUGCUGAGACGGUGCCUCAUGGAGGAGGACGGGCAGAGGGAGGAUGCGGGAGGUCUGGAGGCAGGGAGUGCCCAGCCCAGAGGGCGCCCUGGCCGGCAGCAAGGCGCUGGGAGAGCGCAGGCUGGGUGCUGCCCCUUCCUGGAGCCUCAGGACGCUUCCUUGACGUGGGUACCUGCCGCACGGCCGCUGGAACGUCUCCCUGCUGAGCGGCAGGACGUCCCCCACGUGGCUUCUCACAGAGCGAAGGGGGAAGCACCGUGCCCUGCGCCGUCACUGCCGCCAGACGCCUUCCAAGCGCCGUCAGGCGUGGGACCGCCCGGAGCCAGCAAGGGCAUCGAGGUGAUGGACUGGACAGCAGAUGCGGAGAGGGGCCUGACAUUCAUUGUGUUCGAGCUAGCGGGCGACCCGAGCUACGAUGUGAUCCAGUCUUUCUUCCUCUCCCCCGGAGCCUUGUACGUGCUGGUAGUGAAUUUGAGUGCCUACGUCCCUCAGCACUUCUACCGCUCUGUGGGCUAUUUCUUGCACUGGCUUGGUUCCAAGGUGCCCCAUGCUGUGGUGUGCAUGGUGGGAACCCACGCCGACCUCUGCGCGGAGCGGGAGCUGGAGGAGAAGUGCCUGGACAUCCAUCACCAGAUCGCUCUGCAGGAGAAGCGGGAUGCUGAGGGGCUCCAGAGCUUGGUCCAGCAGGUGGAUGAGGCUCUGGGACAGGACUUUGACCUGCGCUGCUCCAGCCCGCACGCCGCCUUUUACGGGGUCUCGGACAAGAACUUGCGGCGGAAGAAAGCCCAGUUCCAGUAUCUUUUAAACAACCGCCCACAGAUCCUCUCCCCGGUGCUGCCCUUCAGCUGCCGGGACCGUUGCCAGGUGCGUCGCCUGCGGGACAAACUCCUCUCGGUGGCGGAGCACCGAGACAUCUUCCCAAACCUGCACCGAGUGUUGCCCAAAUCCUGGCAAGUGCUGGAGGAGCUGCACUUCCAGCCGCAGGCUCAGCAGCUGUGGCUCAGCUGGUGGGACUCUGCCCGCUUGGGCUUGCAGGCGGGCCUGACGGAGGAUCGGCUCCAGAGCGCCCUGUCCUACCUGCACGAGAGCGGGAAGCUGCUCUACUUUGAGGAGCACCUCACGCUGCGGGAGUACGUGUUCCACAACCUGCCGCGGCUCAUCGACAUCCUCAAUGUCUUCUGCCAGCGGGAUGCCACUGUGCUGCUCCAGAAACUGCUCAGCGACACCCGCAUUGAUGAGCUGAGGGCCACCCAGCUCCAUCACUACGUGGAGGGCUUCUUGCUGCACGGCCUCCUCCCUGCCCACAUUAUCCGCCUGCUUCUCAAGCCCCACAUCCAGAGCCGGGAGGACCUGCAGCUCAUCCUGGAGCUGCUGGAGAAGAUGGGGCUCUGCUACUGCGUCAACAAACCCAAAUGCAAGCCCCUCAACGGGGCGGCUGCGUGGUACAAGUUCCCCUGCUACGUGAAGAACGAGGUGCCCCACGCCGAGGCGUGGAUUAACGGCGCCAAUCUGAGCGGACAGUCCUUUGUGGCUGAGCAACUGCAGAUCGAAUAUAGCUUCCCGUUCAUUUUCCCACCCGGCUUGUUCGCGCGCUACAGCGUCCAGAUCAACAGCCACGUGGUUCAGCGGUCGGAUGGCAAAUACCAGAUCUACGCCUACCGGGGGAAGGUGCCUGUGGUGGUGAGUUACCGGCCUGCCAGGGGAGCUCUGCAGCCAGACACUCUGUCUAUUGCUAGUCACGCAUCCCUACCAAAUAUCUGGACAGCCUGGCAAGCCAUAACCCCUUUAGUGGAAGAACUGAAUGUCCUGCUCCAAGAGUGGCCGGGCCUGUACUACACUGUGCACGUCCUCUGUUCUAAGUGCCUUAAAAGAGGGUCACCCAACCCGCACACUUUCCCAGGAGAACUGCUGAGUCAGCCAAGACCAGAGGGAUUGACGGAGAUCAUCUGUCCCAAGAAUGGCAGCGAACGAGUUAAUGUGGCCUUGGUUUACCCCCCCACUCCUACUGUCGUCAGCCCUUGUUCCAAGUGAGCUCUGAAAGCAGAUCCCCACCCCCCUGUCAGUAUGCACCAGAAAGCCUGCGUAAAACAAGCCCUCGCUAAGCAUUGUUUUUUGAAAAGUAGCAGCCACACAGCCUGGGGACAGUUCUAAUUAUUUGCGGAUGUAGACAGCCCGCUCGAAGGAUAAGAGAUAAAUUGGCAGUGCUGGGGUCGAAGGUUUUCCACCGGCAGAAUGUGGCUGAUGCUCUACAGUGCUCCUAUCUUCUCUGGUUGCAGAGUUGCAUGCUGACAGGGAUCAAUGGGACUUUGGACUCUGAAUCGCUGCAGGGGAUGGCUCCCAGGCGGGGCCUUGGGGCUGGAGUGAACGCAGUCACUUGGAGGUUGGGGACGACGAGGCACAAAGCGAAACGACUGCUCCAGAUGGCAGGGCCACUGGCCAGAGGGGAAGCACUGGGGAUAGGAUUCUGUGGACCCACUGAUUGCGUGUUAAAAACCCAUUUGGAUCUCACGAUGAAUGUAAAAGUGUUCUUGGUACCAUUUCAUUCGGACCUGCUUGGAGGAUAGUCUUGAAAUGAGCUGUAGCGGCAUUCCCUGGAUUUGUUCCUGGACAAGAAGAAACUAGUGAUUUGUUGCUGUGAUGUUGCGUGGAGUAAAGAAACCACAAACUGGAAUCCUUUUCCAGCCAGAGGCCUGUUUGCUGGUGUGCCCACCUGGUCCAAGAUAUGUGAGCACUGAAGGAGUGAGAGGACAGAGCAGACAUCUCACUGCCCCCUCCUUGGGACCGCAGCCCUCUUCUUGGAGCAUACCACCUCAGCAGGAGCACGGCAUUACCUGGGCUUUGCAGGCAUUCAGUCCUCUGUGUGCGCUGAAGCCGUUACGCCGGGAGUGUGGCAGUAUGGAGAUCAGCUGUGUCUUUGCAUCUAUUUAAUAUGAAAUGGGGAUCGCUUAUCCGCCCACUGUUCAGUAACUAGUGUAACUGUGUUUUCAUCUGUUUUUUUUUUUUUUUAAUAUGCAAAAGCCAUUUAAUUUUCUAUGCAGUCCAAAAAUAUCUCCCAUUUGCAACUGCCAGGUAGGAGAUCUGCAGGAGAACCGUGCCGAGUGGCUACUGGGUCUUUUGGUUUUGCUGUCGCUCUCUUUUAAGGAUGCAUCUCGGAGUCCUCCACAGAGCAUCCCCUUGCUGAGCUCCUGUCUGUCAGACCUCACUUAGCGGCUCCCAAUGUGUUCUUAUCUCUCCAUGGUGUUAGUCGCUGGCUAUUUAUCCUUCCCAACCCCCAAAAGACAAAACCUGAGCACAACAAAACUGGUAUAGGGAAUUUGAGGCAGUGCACGGUAGGGCUUUGGAGUCUGGUGCCAAAGCACUUGAGCUUCAGGGAUAGGGGCCCUAUGUGGGGUUUUCGGUUAGUAUGUUUUGGUUUUUGUUUGUUUGUUUCAAGGAUCUGUCAUUAUUCAUGAGUCAAGCCACGAGGAAAGAGGACUUGAAGGCAAUGGCCUAAGAGCAGAGAUGCCUGAAUUCAGAGCAUUGCAUUCACACUCCUUCUGUACUUGUCCCUCUUUGGAAAUAUACUGAACUAUUAGACACUACUAGGGCCUCUGUGGAGCACCCUGCAGCCUUUACUACAAGUAUGUUAUGAAGAGGGCAGAAAGGACUGGGACUCGCUUGUCUCCCUCUGGAGUUGGCAGUGAAUUUAACUCCCUUUAAAUAGGAGGAGAAUCUCCUGGCAGUAGAUGCUUCCUCUGCUUAAGAGAACUGCACUGGAUUUUGCUUAUCGGUUUGCAGACCCUCUCGCUUGCUGGCCAGUUUGUUUCCUACCGAAACUGGUGGAGGCAAGUUUGAAAGCAGAGCAGCAAGUUGCUUUGCACUGCAGGGCUUUUCAGCACCUGGAGCGUCCUGGAGCACCUGGUGUUGUGUUCUGAAGCAGAACCUGGGAUUGAAACCUGCAUCCGUCCAAGUGAAACUCCCGGGAUGGCAGCUUUGCUUACCGCUGGGUCUGUGCAACGCGUGAGGAAUCGAGUGUCCUGGAGUAACGCACAUCUGUUGAAGUAGAAGAAGAGGGUGCCUGAAGGGUGAUCCUGCAUAUCCAGCUGGUCUCAAGACUCAGAGAUCUUGGAGACCUCUGGCAAUUGCAGAGGGCCCUCUCUGAUGGGACACCUCUGCUUCAACUGUGCUAAAGGCAAAAGAGUCAGAAAUAAGCUUGGCUCCAACAUAACGCCAGGACUGGUCUUACUUUCCACGUUCUGCCUCUGCUCUGAGCUUGGGGCAUUCAGCUUUAAAGUUAAACAGAAACUGGAAUGGGAUUAAACCUGCCUGGCAGUCUCUAAACUAAGCAAGAGGAGACCGUGGGCCUCAGAAGCAGAGGUCAUCUCCCUUCCAGAAUCCCUCAUGGUAUGCUUUCAUGGUGGCUGUGGGAAAACUCGGUAGCGUGUUUGGGUGCUGCCUUCCCAAUAAUCCAAGGUGUGCUCAGCUGUGCUGUAGCACCAGAAAGCUUAUACUGGGCCCCUGUUCCCUUCCCUUUUCUUUCUUUGAGCUGGUUAAAGUUUGCCAGAGCAGUAGGGGCCUCUCACUGCAAGGCAACAGAUACAGUUAUGUUAAAGGGAACUGCAAGAAAUGGUAUUUAGGAGCUCACUAAGUGAAGUGGAAACUCUCCAGGUCUCUCCUGCAGAGCCAGACGCCAGAGCUCAGCUGCCCUGCACCCUCUGGAAUGGGAUUUUGGGCUAGCAUCCGUGGAGUGGUUGGGUGGCCAGAGGGAGAUCCUGCGCUCCAGCAAGCAGAAGAGGAGCUGCCCCCAGCACAGCAGGGAGGCAAGCAAGUGGGCCUCAGUGUAGCACUCAUCACAUGCUUCAUGGCUCAGUUCAUGGACUAUAAUUGCAGGUAUUUGUAUAAUCUGCAUAACUGGGCAGGACUCUGCACGCACACACAUGCAUGCCCAGACAUACAUGCGCCACGUACACCCACACAUCCUUGCCAAAACAACUGAAAAUAAAAGUGAUCUCAAGGAGA